rnacentral:lncRNA from 1 species
UUUCAUAGUAAAUUUGAUAAACAAUUUGAUAUAUAGAUAUAAAGUUUGACACUCAACAAAUCAAUAAGACAAAAAUCAACAGCAGCAGCAGAGCGCAACCAAUCGCAGCCAAUCACAGGAGCAGCAGAGCAGGCGUCCAAAAAAACAGUGUUAGUUUCUCUAAUCUCUAAAGAUCUAAACGUGAAACUAUUAGAAAAAGGCUAAAUUGAAAAUUCUGGACGUCAUGUCCCUAUCAUACAGAACGCAACCAAUCGAAGAGCAGAGCUGCAGAGCAGGCAACCACUCACCAGCAGCAGCGUCUUGAGGCCGCCAGGCGCCAGGACCAGGAACACUGGAACAGCCGCGCGCUCGCCGCUCGGCCGCUCGCCACCAGCCGUCGAGCACUCCAGCCGCGCGCUCGUCAGGAACAGGAAGCCAGGCGCUCGUCAGGAACAAGAAGCCAGGCCACCAGCCGACAGCCGUCCAGCCGCGCGGCGCGCUCGCCAGGAAGCCAGUAGCCAGGUUGAAGGUUGAGGUCGCUAGCCGCCAGGAACAGUCGCACUCGUGGUUCUAGGAACUGGAAGCUGAAGGAUCGGGAAGUUGAAACCAGUGGCAGACCUAGGAUUUUUACAUAGGGUGUGCCGCAACAAAAUUUUCAUGUGGAAUUCUAUUUAAUGUACAUAUAAUUUCAUAGUAAAUUUGGUAAACAAUUUGAUAUAUAGAUAUAAAGUUUGACACUCAACAAAUCAAUAAGACAAAAAUCAACAGCAGCAGCAGAGCGCAACCAAUCGCAGCCAAUCACAGGAGCAGCAGAGCAGGCGUCCAAAAAAACAGUGUUAGUUUCUCUAAUCUCUAAAGAUCUAAACGUGAAACUAUUAGAAAAAGGCUAAAUUGAAAAUUCUGGACGUCAUGUCCCUAUCAUAUAGAACGCAACCAAUCGAAGAGCAGAGCUGCAGAGCAGGCAACCACUCACCAGCAGCAGCGUCUUGAGGCCGCCAGGCGCCAGGACCAGGAACACUGGAACAACCGCGCGCUCGCCGCUCGGCCGCUCGCCACCAGCCGUCCAGCAGCCGCGCGGCGCGCUCGCCAGGAAGCCAGUAGCCAGGUUGAAGGUUGAGGUCGCUAGCCGCCAGGAACAGUCGCACUCGUGGUUCUAGGAACUGGAAGCUGAAGGAUCGGGAAGUUGAAACUGCCUUCAGCGCUCGACGGACGAACGGGUGGGGUCUCCGAUGGGCCUGGCUUAGGGUGUGCCAGGGCCCACCCGGACCCCCCUGUGGGUCCGCCCCUGGUUGAAACUGCCUUCAGCGCUCGACGGACGAACGGGUGGGGUCUCCGAUGGGCCUGGCUUAGGGUGUGCCAGGGCCCACCCGAACCCCCCUGUGGGUCCGCCCCUGCGCGCAGGCAGCGAGCGCGCUGUGAAGAGAGACGACCGGCGUGCGCACGCGGGCGGCGAGCACAUGACAAGGCCGGCGGGCGCUGCCCGCCGGCGGUACACGUACGUUCGACAAUGGUGAGAUAGCGCGCCGCGAGGUCUCGUCCCGGUCCUCGCGGCCCCGGGCGCCGGCGCCAUUGGCGGACGCGGCAAUCACAUGUUCUCGCAGGGUAUCAGCCCAUGUAAUCCGGAAGGCCACCGCCGUGUGGAUGGUCCCCAAGC